ACGAGGUCAGGAGAUCGAGACCAUCCUGGCUAACACAGUGAAACCCCGUCUCUACUGAAAAUACAAAAAAAUAAGCCCGGCAUGGCGGCAGCCUUCUGUAGUCCCAGCUGCUGAGGAGGCUGAGGCAGGAGAAUGGCGUGAACCUGGGAAACGGAGCCUACAGUGAGCUGAGAUCGCGCCACUGCACUCCAGCCUGGAUGACAGCAAAACUUCGUCUCAAAAAAGAAAACAAAACAACUGGAACCAUCUUGGAUAAAAUGUACGACAAAGUACUGAUGAGUUUAAUGUUAACAGAACUAGAAGUCAGAAGACCAGCAACAAGCCUUUGGAUAAGUGAGUUCUUCAUUAGCUUUAAGAGAGUGGGAGCAGAGGAAACGGGUACCAUGAGGGCAGACCUGCUUUCAAGAACAGAUGAACAGCGGAUGAGAUGACUCUGAGAGGUCGCAGGAGCAGAGCUGCAUUCCAGUGGCAGCUUGAACCAAGAUCUAGAUGUCCAUAGAUGUCCAUUUGGAGUGAAUGUCAAGAGAUACCACGUGAGAAAAGAGAGCAGUGCUGCCCUGCCACCACUGUGUGCACGGCCCGUGUACGUGUGAAUAACAACGGCUCAACUCCAGAAUGGAGUUCUGGAAGGCUGGGAGCAGGCCGGCGCGGUGGCUCACGCCUGUAAUCCCAGCACUUUGGGAGGCCAAGGCGGCGGACCACAAGGUCAGAAGAUCAAGACCAUCCUGGCUAACACGGUGAAACCCCGUCUCUAUUAAAAUACAAAAAAUUAGCCAGGCAUGGUGGCGCACUCCUGUAGUCCCAGCUACUCGGGAGGCUGAGGCAGGAAAAUCACUUGAACCCGGGGGGCCGAGCUUGCAGUGAGCGGAGAUCGCACCACUGCACUCCAGCCUGGGCGACAGAGCAAGACUGUGUCUCAAGAAAAAAAAAAAAAAGAAAUGUAAUCCUGUAUUUGUGCAGCACAAAGAAUAUUCUAAGCAUCAAAGAGAAGCUGUUUCUUUCCACAUUCCAUUAAACCUGAAAAUGUAUGUCAUUAUUUUAACUUGCUUUAUAUUUGCACUGUGGCAUUUUUGUUCAGCUUUUUUUUUCCUGGAGUUUUUAAUUGCUAUUGAUGACCAAAAAAAAAAAAAAAAAAAACAG